rnacentral:rRNA from 1 species
GACGAACGCUGGCUGCGUGCCUAAUACAUGCAAGUAGAACGCUGAAGAGAGGAGCUUGCUCUUCUUGGAUGAGUUGCGAACGGGUGAGUAACGCGUAGGUAACCUGCCUUGUAGCGGGGGAUAACUAUUGGAAACGAUAGCUAAUACCGCAUAACAAUGGAUGACACAUGUCAUUUAUUUGAAAGGGGCAAUUGCUCCACUACAAGAUGGACCUGCGUUGUAUUAGCUAGUAGGUGAGGUAACGGCUCACCUAGGCGACGAUACAUAGCCGACCUGAGAGGGUGAUCGGCCACACUGGGACUGAGACACGGCCCAGACUCCUACGGGAGGCAGCAGUAGGGAAUCUUCGGCAAUGGGGGCAACCCUGACCGAGCAACGCCGCGUGAGUGAAGAAGGUUUUCGGAUCGUAAAGCUCUGUUGUAAGUCAAGAACGAGUGUGAGAGUGGAAAGUUCACACUGUGACGGUAGCUUACCAGAAAGGGACGGCUAACUACGUGCCAGCAGCCGCGGUAAUACGUAGGUCCCGAGCGUUGUCCGGAUUUAUUGGGCGUAAAGCGAGCGCAGGCGGUUUGAUAAGUCUGAAGUUAAAGGCUGUGGCUCAACCAUAGUUCGCUUUGGAAACUGUCAAACUUGAGUGCAGAAGGGGAGAGUGGAAUUCCAUGUGUAGCGGUGAAAUGCGUAGAUAUAUGGAGGAACACCGGUGGCGAAAGCGGCUCUCUGGUCUGUAACUGACGCUGAGGCUCGAAAGCGUGGGGAGCGAACAGGAUUAGAUACCCUGGUAGUCCACGCCGUAAACGAUGAGUGCUAGGUGUUGGAUCCUUUCCGGGAUUCAGUGCCGCAGCUAACGCAUUAAGCACUCCGCCUGGGGAGUACGACCGCAAGGUUGAAACUCAAAGGAAUUGACGGGGGCCCGCACAAGCGGUGGAGCAUGUGGUUUAAUUCGAAGCAACGCGAAGAACCUUACCAGGUCUUGACAUCCCGAUGCUAUUUCUAGAGAUAGAAAGUUACUUCGGUACAUCGGUGACAGGUGGUGCAUGGUUGUCGUCAGCUCGUGUCGUGAGAUGUUGGGUUAAGUCCCGCAACGAGCGCAACCCCUAUUGUUAGUUGCCAUCAUUCAGUUGGGCACUCUAGCGAGACUGCCGGUAAUAAACCGGAGGAAGGUGGGGAUGACGUCAAAUCAUCAUGCCCCUUAUGACCUGGGCUACACACGUGCUACAAUGGUUGGUACAACGAGUUGCGAGUCGGUGACGGCAAGCUAAUCUCUUAAAGCCAAUCUCAGUUCGGAUUGUAGGCUGCAACUCGCCUACAUGAAGUCGGAAUCGCUAGUAAUCGCGGAUCAGCACGCCGCGGUGAAUACGUUCCCGGGCCU